GACGAACGCUGGCGGCGUGCCUAACACAUGCAAGUCGAGCGAUGAAGUUCUUCGGAACGGAUUAGCGGCGGACGGGUGAGUAACACGUGGGUAACCUGCCUUGUAGAGGGGGAUAGCCUUCCGAAAGGAAGAUUAAUACCGCAUAACAUCUUUUUAUCGCAUGGUAGAAAGAUCAAAGGAGUAAUCCGCUACAAGAUGGACCCGCGGCGCAUUAGCUAGUUGGUGAGGUAACGGCUCACCAAGGCGACGAUGCGUAGCCGACCUGAGAGGGUGAUUGGCGAAAUUGGAACUGAGACACGGUCAAGACUCCUACGGGAGGCAGCAGUGGGGAAUAUUGCGCAAUGGGGGAAACCCUGACGCAGCAACGCCGCGUGAAUGAAGAAGGCCUUAGGGUUGUAAAGUUCUGUUUACGGGGACGAUAAUGACGGUACCCGUGGAGGAAGCCACGGCUAACUACGUGCCAGCCGCCGCCGUAA
rnacentral:rRNA from 1 species